AUUGAACGCUGGCGGCGUGCUUAACACAUGCAAGUCGAUCGGUAACAGGUGUAGCAAUACAUGCUGACGAGAGGCGGACGGGUGAGUAAUGCUUGGGAAUCUGCCUAUUAGUGGGGGACAACCCGGGGAAACUCGGGCUAAUACCGCAUACGCUCUACGGAGGAAAGCCGGGGACCGCAAGGCCUGGCGCUAAUAGAUGAGCCCAAGUCGGAUUAGCUAGUUGGA
rnacentral:rRNA from 1 species